AUGGCUCCCGGCGCGGGGGGCGCUCCCCCUGGCGGCCGCCCCCCCUGCCUUGCCCCGACCUUCCUCCACCUCCUCCUCCUCCUCCUCCUCCUCCUCCUCCUCCUCCUGCUGCCCCCAGCGGCCCGGGAGGAACUGAACGGGCGCCGCACAGGAAGUAGCGGCUGCGGGGAGCAGUGGUGGUGGCGGUGGAGGAGGAGGAGGAGGAGGCAGAGGCAGCAGCAGCAGCAGCAGCAUCAGGGGCUGCGGCGCUCCAUGAGCCCAGGCUCCCGCAGCCGCCCGGCCCCGCUCGUCCCCGGCACUCAGCGCCCAAGCCCGGGGGCUGGAGCUUCCCGAGGAGAAGGAGGAGGAGGAGGAGGGAGGCAGGCAAAUGAGAAAGCAAAUCUCUUGAAACAUAAGCAGUGGUACUUCCCUGGAGGGAGGAGAUGGGAAUUCUCCUGUUACUCUGAGAGUUGCCAGGUGCCAGAAGUGGUCCACAGUGGUGGUGGUAAGAAAGAAAUCUUCCCCCACGUUUCUGUAUUUGCAUUUUGUCUGUAGCAAUAAGAUGCUUUUAGAAGGAAAAAAAAAAAAGUGCAAAUCCUGUUCUUUUCAUAGAUCUGUAUGAAUUGCUAGGAGAGGCAUCAAACGUCUCCCACUCUUGGUAUUUUAAUUUAGGGAUGAAACCUGCGCUUCAGCCCGGUGCUUGCUGUAGUGUUCGCUCACGCGCUUUCUUGAAUGCUGUAUCUGUUGGUAGUAAUUGCAGCAAAGACUUAACCACAAAUAAACCUCUAGAGGACUCUAUAAAUCCUAAAUUGUCUCCCGCCCCCCCCAAAGUGUAAAAUAGGAACCGUGGCCUUAUAGUGCUUUGAAGUGCUUCUUACAAAGUUCUUAGAAAUCUUUUGAAUGCUGAUUGUAGGGUCAUCUUAGACUGGGCUGCCUUUAAUCCAAACAUUCUUAAAUUUUAGCUGGUAACAACAUAUAACAAUGUUAAGUUACAGCAGCAAAAUUCUUAUUAUUGACCUUUUUUGCAGUCUCUCAUGCAUAAAAGGUGACAGCAAAAGUGGAAGGCUGAUGAGACCCCACUGACACAGCAAGAGGACAGUUUUUCAGGGUAAGAUUUUAAAACCCCGAAGCGUCUAGUGUCAGAUGUUGACAUUUUAAUGAUGAUCUCCAUGAUACCCUGCCCUCUUUGUGGGCUAUUAAUAGCUUUUUUAUAGGAAAGUAAUUUACUCCUGGUGAUUUUGCACACACAUGCAGCGUUGCUUUAGUAUUUUAAAAUGUUUCAAGGUCUAUUAUAGGAUGAGUCUUUUGCCACAAAACUUUAAUCUUUGUGAGAUUUUCUUCAAAGCUCAGAUUUGCAUAGCAAUACCUACUGGAUCAUCCACAGACUGUUCAGGGCAUGUUUUCUGUCUCCAUGCAAAGGUAUACUCCAUUUGAAGUUCUAGUUUUCCCUGCUAUGAAAAAACGCUAAAGCAUUCAUCAUAGGUUAUAUUGGGUGGGCAAAUAACCACUUCUGUGAGUCCCAGGUAUUCUUGGACCAAAUUUUACACAUACAUUAGUUAUUACACCUGAAUCUGGUUAAUAUUGAUCGUCUGCAGCUUUGGUAGGUGAAGGGAUGAACAAAGCCUUGUUACAGUGUGGUGGUGACCAGCUACUUUCAGAGCCAGUUCUGCAGAAUGCUUUUGCUCGGGCUCAUUGCCAUCAGUGUAAAAGCAAUACCCAAGCGAUGUGUGAAAACCUAUUUUUUGUGGAUUUGCCGUUUCAUAGCUUAUUUUUUCUGUUUAUACAGCCCCAAUUUUUGCCUUUCUUCUUUUUGUGUAAGGCCUGAAAAAGCCAUUGAUGCAAGUGUUACUGAGAAGCAAAGAUAUGCUGGUGGGGGACAGGAUUGUAUGAAUUGUGCAUGGCUGCUGAAUUUUCAAGUUCUGCUUCUGUUUGGACUUGAGCUUCUGGUAUCCAGCCCUGCAGGCUGCAAAGCCUGGUGCCUGUGCCCCUUGUGUAGUGCGUGCCUGGGUCUUUUAUCUCUGGUCGAUGGAGCCUGCGAGGAGGAAUCGUCUGGAAACGAAAUGUCCUGAAUGAGGUGGAUGGCCAUGCUGGAAGCUGCAUGGGUUGAAUAAUCCCAUGAAUAAUUCCUUCACCACCUUGAUUGUUUAGAUAAAUCCAGAGCGGGUCGAUAGAUAUUAAUAUGGAUUAGAGAAAUUUUACUGAGAGCUUUUCAGUGUCCCAGUGGACACUUCUUAUGCAGAGCAAAUCUCCAUUUCAUGAACCAAAGCACAAAUGGUACCAGCAGGCACGCACUCAAAGAGGUGAGGGACUGACUUAUGGGGAGGCUGAAUUAUGAUAGCAUUUCUCGUAAUGGCUGGCCCCUCUUGUUGAGGCUCGUGCAUAAGCAGAGGCCCUAUGGGUACCAUCUGCUGUUUUUGUCCUUACUACACGUCUUCGUGGGGAGAUUUCUUUUUCUCAGGCUUGCCAGCAUGACAAUUUUGUAGCAAUUAUUGGAAGAGUCAUUUUUAAUAUAAAUUUAGUUGGGGGUCACAGGAAAAAAAAAAAAGGCAAAGACAAAGAUCCAGCAGGCUACAACAAGAAGCAGCUCACAAAAGCAGCAAUGACAAUCGCAAUUUCAAGAGUUUCUUUUAGUUCAAGCAAGGAGAAACGUAAAGUACGUUUUGUGAGAUUUUCUUCAAAGCUCAGAUUCACAGAGCAGUACCUACUGGAUCAUCCACAGACUGUUCAGGGCAUGUUUUCUGACUCCAUGCAAAGGUAUACUCCAUUUGAAGUCGUAGUUUUCCCUGGAACAGAGGUUGGCUCUCCUUAUGAUUUUCAUCUGGAAGAAGUAAGUGUACCGGCUGUGUUUUGUGAAGCACUCAGUCGUCAUGACUUUUGAAGAGAGCGGGACUACACCACUCCCAAGUUUUGAUCCCCAGGAGGCUGAGGGAAGGGGCAGCACUGUCAGAAGAUGCUGGCUGCGCUUGGGAGCAGGACCUGGCACUGUUCAGUCCUGCCAGCGUGGUCAAGGACCAGUCUGAGCAUGGGAGAUUCAGUGGAAAUCAAAGGCCCAUAAGCUGAAUCUCCAGGCCGCGGGCAAGAGAAUUUUAUAACUACUGCCUCUAAGAGCA
rnacentral:lncRNA from 1 species